ensembl:lncRNA
GCCGCCGCCGCCGCCGCCGCAGGGCCCCGGGCUCCUGCAGGGCGCGAGGCCUCCCUCACCAGGGAAACCCGCCCAGGCCAGGAGGAGCUGCGAGAGAUGGGGAGAGUCAUAGAGAGAGGAGAUGCGCUCACAGAUUACCCCCUCCUGCUCUGCUCCCGACCGCUAGGUUAGGCCCUGCAGCUUGGGGGAUCCUGGCCCUCACUCAGCCGCUACCCUCUUCUCCUCCGGCCACCCGCUGAAACAUUCGGGAUUCCCGGGGAAGUUGUCAGCAGUGUGGGAUUCACCCACGGGAACUCCAGGGCACUGCAUUUUUCUGGCAAGAAGGGAUGCACUUGGGCCACCUGCUGCAACCCCCUUGCUCCCCGGGUGCUCCCCGAUCGACCCGGCCACCUCACUGCCCCUGGCCGGCCCAGCUCCCAGCCUCAAACGCUCACCUUACCCGACUCUCUGGCCACGAAAAUUUGUCAUUACGAGGAGGGCUUUAUCCCGGAGCUAUUGUGUUUGUACCUCUCUGGAUUAGCCGGGACCCUGGGGUGUGUUUGUUCCCGGACCUUUGACAGCACGCUUCAAGGGAAAGGAGAGCUCACAACACGGAGAGGAGAAGCAAGGGAAGAUCAUUUCCUCCAGAUCGGGAGACAAGAGGCGAGCUUCCAAAAGCACCAAGUGUUCUCUGUUCCUCCCCACCCGCUGGACAACCCCCCACCGGGGAAAGUGUGCGAGCACCCGGGGCCCAGAGCGGGCAAGAGGCCUCCCCGCGUGCCUGCGCUCCGCCGGCCCUUGCUCCCCGGCCGUGCCCACCCUGCCAGCCCGGCUCGCGCUCGCCUCUCCGCCGUCUGCCACCUCAUGGACCUCAAGCAAUUUGUUACAUAAAAGAAAACAGCCACCACACACAUGUGCCUGCAGCCCCGCAGCGACGGACACCCAGGGAGGCCUCGUCCCCUUCUCCUCCUCCCGCCAGCGCCACCAGGCCAGUCUGCCCAGCGACCAGGAGCGAAGCGGGGUUGGCACUUGCAACCCCUUCCCCUUCCCCGAUCGCCGUGCUGGUUAAAAAAAACCUCCCUCCGGUUACCCCCACCGUGAAGGAAGGGGUGAUCGGAAAUACUCGGUCCAUGCACAAAGACGUACCACAAAACGAAUGCACAUUUCUGUGUGAAAAGGCUCAGAGGCGGAGGAGACAACGUCUUAGUGGAGCCCAGAAGUGAUGGGAAUGAGCGGGCGCUAGAGAACACUGGGCUUUGGGGCUCUGGCCCCACACACCUCACCAGGACCCUAAUUCCCUGCCACCUCCGGCGGGUCCCCGGACACAAAUCGCCUUAAAUUCCAAAAGAGGGGUUCUCAGCCACCCGCCUCCCACAUACCUGCCCCUUCCUGAGGCUCUCUCUGUGUGGCCCUGAGCUGCUGGGCGGCCCAACAGGAAGCUCCACCAAUGAGUGCCCAGGGGCGCCCACUCCCAUCCACUCACUGCACCCCCGACUUACCCCCACCUCAUAUAUCAGCUGCGAAAAGGCAGGGUGGAAAGAGCAAUAAAGGCAAAUGCAGCUUCCCCUGUCUCUGGGCU